CUGAACCAGCCAUGCCGCGUGCAGGAAGACGGCCUUCUGGGUUGUAAACUGCUUUUAUACGGGAAGAAAAAGUCCAUGCGUGGACAACUGACGGUACCGUAAGAAUAAGCACCGGCUAACUCCGUGCCAGCAGCCGCGGUAAUACGGAGGGAGCUAGCGUUGUUCGGAAUUACUGGGCGUAAAGGGCGCGUAGGCGGAUGCAUCAGUCAGGGGUGAAAGCCAUGGGCUCAACCUGUGAACUGCCUUUGAUACUGUGCAUCUAGAGUUUGUGAGAGGGUGGCGGAAUACCCAGUGUAGAGGUGAAAUUCGUAGAUAUUGGGUAGAACACCAGUGGCGAAGGCGGCCACCUGGCACAAUACUGACGCUGAGGCGCGAAAGCGUGGGGAGCAAACAGGAUUAGAUACCCUGGUAGUCCACGC
rnacentral:rRNA from 1 species